rnacentral:misc_RNA from 1 species
UGUCCGACCAAUUCACCUCCAACAACACCACCGUCCUCCUCGGUGUCGACGAUAUGGACCCGCUGAAAGGCAUCACACUCAAAUUCUUAGCAUUCGAGCAGCUCCUGGACGAGCAUCCUAGCCGGCGUGGGCGGACGGUGCUAGUCCAAAUCGCCAACCCCGCCCGCUCGCAGGGGAAGGACAUACAACAAGUGCAGGAGGAGACUCACCAAACAGCGGCUCGCAUAAACGCCCGCUUUGGCACACCUGGCUACAAUCCAAUCAUAUUAAUAAACCGCUAUGUUCCGACACAUGAGAAAUCGGCUUACUAUGCGAUUGCUGAGUGUAUCGUGGUCAGUGCGGUGCGCGACGGGCUCAAUUUGGUCCCGUACAAGUAUACGGCGUGCCGGCAGAGGAGCCCGGCUCUUGAGGGGAAGCCGAAGAAGAGUGUGAUUAUAGUUUCGGAGUUCAUCGGUUGCUCGCCUUCUCUCAGCGGUGCUAUUCGUGUGAAUCCUUGGAAUAUUGAUGCGAUGGCUGAGGCGAUGAACCAAGCAUUGAAAAUGCCUGAGGCUGAGAAGCAGCUGCGGCAUGAGAAGCAUUACAAGUAUGUGAGUUCUCAUGAUGUUGCGUAUUGGGCGCGGUCGUUCGAUCAGGAUCUGCAGCGGGCUUGCAGGGAUCAUUUCUCGAAGAGGUGUUGGGGGAUUGG